GGUGAAAAGAACCCCGGGAGGGGAGUGAAAUAGAUCCUGAAAUUUAGUGCCUACAAGGAGUCGGAGCCGGCUUGUCCGGUGACGGCGUGCUUUUUGUAGAACGAUCCAGCGAGUUAAUUUCGUGCGCAAGGUUAAGCCAGUUGGCGGAGCCACAGUGAAAGCGAGCCUGAAUAGGGCGAUUAAGUGUACGGGAUUAGACCCGAAACCGGGUGACCUAACCAUGAGCAGGUUGAAGCCACUGUAACAGGUGGUGGAGGACCGAACCAGGAUACGCAGCAAAGUGUUUGGAUGACUUGUGGUUAGCGGUGAAAUGCCAAUCGAACUCGGAGAUAGCUGGUUCUCCUCGAAACAGUUUUAGGACUGGCGUCAUGUGGUAGCAGUCGGGGGUAGAGCUCUGUAAAGGACUGGGGGGAGCAAUCCUACCCACCCUUAACAAACUACGAAUACCGACUGUGGAAUCAUGGCAGUUAGAACGGCGGAGCUAAGUUCGUCGCUCAAAAGGGAAACAGCCCAGACCAUCGUCUAAGGUCCCUAAAUUUACGUUAAGUGGGAAACAAGGUGAGAUUUCUUAAACAGCUAGGAUGUUGGCUUAGAAGCAGCCAUUCAUUUAAAGAGUGCGUAACAGCUCACUAGUCAAGAGAUCUUGCGUGGAAAAUGUAACGGGGCUAAACGUAAUACCGAAGACAUGGGUCUAUGCAUUAGCAUGGGCGGUAGAGGAGCGUUCCUAUCGGCAGUGAAGCAGCAUUGUAAAGUGCUGUGGAGCGGUAGGAAGUGAGAAUGCUGGAAUGAGUAACCAUAAGAGAGGUGAGAAUCCUCUCGGCCGUAAGAGCAAGGUUUCCUGAGCUAUGGUAAUCAUCUCAGGGUUAGUCGGGCCUAAGCCGAGGCGCAUAGCGUAGGCGAUGGACAUCAGGUUGAUAUUCCUGAACCGGCGUAGUUUGUACACUGUUCACGGAGAGAUAUUCAGAGCGGAUUCAUGGUUUAUCCGUCCAACCUAGCGGGAACGCAAAGGGAGUGAAAGUUACUCUGCGGAGUGAUGAUUCUGGAAAAGGCUCUGGCUAGAAAAGCAGGUGUACGCGUGACUAUGUCCGCCCGUACCGCAAACCAACACAGGUGCUCGAGUCGAGUAGACUCAGGCUUACGAGAGAACCUUCGCUAAGGAACUCGGCAAUACAGCGACCGUAACUUCGGAAUAAGGUCUGCCCCCACUUCGGUGGAUAUGUUGUCGGUUUCAAAGCUAGCAGGUGUGGUUGAAGAGUAUCUUUAAUACAUCAAUUCUUCUUGAGAUAGAACCAAUAGCUUUUGGAACUGAAGCUCAACGCAUCUAGCGAUGUGGGGGCCGCAGCAAAAGAGCCCACGGAACUGUUUACCAAAAACACAGCUCUCUGCUAACACGAAAGUGGAUGUAUAGGGGGUGACUCCUGCCCGGUGCUGGAAGGUUAAGGGGAGUGCUUCACGGUACGAACUGAAGCCCCAGUGAACGGCGGCGGUAACUAUAACCGUCCUAAGGUAGCGAAAUUCCUUGUCAGGUAAGUUCUGACCCGCACGAAUGGAGUAAUCAUGUGGGCACUGUCUCAGCGAAGGACUCGGUGAAAGUGCAUUGGCGGUAAAGAUGCCGUCUGUCCAUACCAGGACGAGAAGACCCCAUGGAGCUUUACUACAGCUUUACAUUGAUCCAGGUUUCAGCAUGUGUAGCAU
rnacentral:rRNA from 1 species